rnacentral:pre_miRNA from 1 species
UAGCUACUCCCUCUGUUCGGAAUUACUUGUCUUGGAAAUGGAUGUAUCUAGAAUUAAAAUACGUUUAGAUACAUCCAUUUUCGCGACAAGUAAUUCCGAACGGAGGGAGUAGGUG